rnacentral:rRNA from 1 species
UACAGAGGUCUCAAGCGUUGUUCGGAUUCAUUGGGCGUAAAGGGUGCGUAGGCGGCGCGGUAAGUCGGGUGUGAAAUCUCGGAGCUUAACUCCGAAACUGCAUUCGAUACUGCCGUGCUUGAGGACUGGAGAGGAGACUGGAAUUUACGGUGUAGCGGUGAAAUGCGUAGAUAUCGUAAGGAAGACCAGUGGCGAAGGCGGGUCUCUGGCCCGGUACUGACGCUGAGGAGCGAAAGCGUGGGGAGCAAACAGG